GACUACCGGGGUAUCUAAUCCCGUUUGCUCCCCUAGCUUUCGCGCCUCAGCGUCAGUAUCGGCCCAGAUGAGCGCCUUCGCCACCGGUGUUCCUCCUGAUAUCUACGCAUUUCACCGCUACACCAGGAAUUCCCUCAUCCUCUCCCGUACUCAAGCCAGACAGUAUGAGAUGCAGGUCCUCGGGUGAGCCGAGGCAUUUCACAUCUCACUUAUCUGACCGCCUACACGCCCUUUACGCCCAGUGAUUCCGAACAACGCUUGCUCCCCCCGUGUUACCGCGGCUGCUGGCACGGAGUUAGCCGGAGCUUAUUCGUCAGCUACCGUCAAGCGACCAGAUUAUUCACCUGAUCGCAUUUCUUCGCUGACAAAAGAAGUUUACAACCCAAGGGCCUUCAUCCUUCACGCGGCGUCGCUCGGUCAGGGUUUCCCCCAUUGCCGAAGCUUCUCGACUGCAGCCCCCCGUAGG
rnacentral:rRNA from 1 species